GCAGUCGAGCGAGCCGAACUAAUUGAUUACCUUCGGGUAUGAAGUUAGGGAAGCGAGCGGCGGAUGGGUGAGUAACACGUGGGUAACCUACCCUAUAGUCUGGGAUACCACUUGGAAACAGGUGCUAAUACCGGAUAAAAGGAGAGAUCACAUGAUUUCUUUUUGAAAGGCGGCGUAAGCUGUCGCUAAAGGAUGGACCCGCGGUGCAUUAGCUAGUUGGUAAGGUAACGGCUUACCAAGGCAACGAUGCAUAGCCGAGUUGAGAGACUGAUCGGCCACAUUGGGACUGAGACACGGCCCAAACUCCUACGGGAGGCAGCAGUAGGGAAUCUUCCACAAUGGACGCAAGUCUGAUGGAGCAACGCCGCGUGAGUGAAGAAGGUUUUCGGAUCGUAAAGCUCUGUUGUUGGUGAAGAAAGAUAGUGAGAGUAACUGCUCAUUAUUUGCCGGUAAUCAACCAGAAAGUCACGGCUAACUACGUGCCAGCAGCCGCGGUAAUACGUAGGUGGCAAGCGUUGUCCGGAUUUAUUGGGCGUAAAGCGAGCGCAGGCGGAAAGAUAAGUCAGAUGUGAAAGCCCUCGGCUUAACCGAGGAAUAGCAUCGGAAACUGUCUUUCUUGAGUGCAGAAGAG
rnacentral:rRNA from 1 species